AUGUGCGUCGGAGGGCGCAGCCUAGCAAAGGACGGGUACCCAGAAGAAGCCGAUCACUCCAGUGAGUUGGGCGGUGGUGGCCACUGCAAGCUAGCAGCUCAAGCAUCACCAGGUGGAGGCAUGGUGCCUGGGCCAGAACGUGGGCAACAUCCAGAGGAAGGAAAAGACCCACUUGGGGAAGUGUCUCAUGGUUCAUACGUGGUGGCACCUGGAACUUUACUAUGUGUAAAUGAUGCAGCACCAAUCUCAUGCGCAGGGGGUGCAGUAGCAUCACUUGGUGGUGGCCAGUCAGCAAGUAUGUCCAGUACUCUAUUUGUCAGCCUAGAAGCGAGCAUCGGUGGUGGCUCGCAGUUGCUAGCAGAAUUGUACGCAGAAGAUGACGUCACUUCGGCACCUAUGUCGCCUCCGAAAGUACUGGAGAAAACGACACGUCCAUCUACAACCGAUCAUCUACAUCCGGAGUUACACUCAUAUCCGGAGAAAUUUCUUCAGACGAUUAACCCGGUAAUGGUGAACGGGAGUGGGCGACGGUGUCUAGCAAGCGCCGAGGAACCGGCGGAAUUUGUGGACGCAAAUACGAAGGAGUGUUGGCGUCAUGCUAUGAAAGAAGAGUUGGGGUCGAUCCAUGACAAUAAUACAUGGGAGCUUGUGGAUCUUUCCAACAAUGAAAAGGCGAUAGAGCUCAAGUGGCAAUUUAAGGUCAGGAAAGAUGUUGAAGGGUGCAUGAAGCACAAAGUGAGGUUUGUGGCCAAAGAGUAUGUGCAAGAGGAAAGUAUGGACUUCGAAGAAGUGUUCGUUCUCAUUACAAAGAUGGAGUCGGUGAGAUUACUCAUCGCUCUCGCGGCUCAGGAAUCAUGGAAGAUACAUCACAUGGAUGUAAACUCCGCGUUUUUGAAUGGCGAGAUAGAAGGAGAUGUGUAUGUGAAUCAACCGCCGGGUUUCAUCAAAGAGGGAGAAGAGCACAAGGUACUGAAGUUACACAAAAUCUUGUAUGGGCUAUGGCAAGGACCUCGGGAGUGGAACAUCAAACUUGAUCGGACAUUGAUUUCUCUUGGAUUUGAGAAAGCCCCACUAGAGCAUGCAAUGUACAAGAGAGGUGAAGGAAGGGAUCGUCUACUAGUUGGCAUCUACGUCGACGACCUAUUGAUUACUGGAGCAGAUGAAGAGGUGAUUGCAAAGUUCAAGUUACAAAUGAAGGAGAUUUUCAAGAGGGAUGAUCUAGGUCUUUUGAGCUUCUACCCCAGGAUAGAGGUACAUCAAAAGACAGAGGAUAUCACACUAUGCCAGGAGGCAUACACAAGGAAGAUACUUGAAAACUGUGGCAUGAAAGAUUGCAAUCUAAUUGAAUCUUCAACGAAACCUCGUCUUGAACUGAGCAAGAAGAGUAAAGCACCCACAGUUGAUGCAAUAGAGUAUAUUGCAGCUGCCACUGCGAUGUGUCAAGGUGUGUGGCUAGGGAGGCUGCACGGUGAUCUCAUGGAUCGAGAUCCGGAACAAGUGGUGCUCAAUGUUGAUGGAAAGUCUACAACUUUUCUACGCGAAGAACCAGUGCGGCAUGAUAGGAGCAAGCACAUUGAUACGGUGUAUCACUACAUAAAGGACUGCGUGGAAGAAGGUAAGAUGAAGGUCAACUACGUUUGCACCGAUGAUCAGAUGGCGGAUAUCCUAACCAAGAGUUUGGAUCGAGAGAAGUUCUUGGAGAAGCGAAGAAGGAUCGGCGUCGGAGCGGUCACGUGA
rnacentral:rRNA from 1 species